rnacentral:rRNA from 1 species
UACAGAGGGUGCGAGCGUUGUCCGGAAUCACUGGGCGUAAAGGGCGCGUAGGCGGCCUGAUAAGUCUGGGGUGAAAUCCUGUGGCUUAACCACAGGGCUGCCUCCGAGACUGUCGGGCUCGAGCACAGUAGAGGCAGGUGGAAUUCCCGGUGUAGCGGUGGAAUGCGUAGAGAUCGGGAAGAACAUCGGUGGCGAAGGCGGCCUGCUGGGCUGUUGCUGACGCUGAGGCGCGACAGCGUGGGGAGCAAACAGG